UACAGAGGGUGCAAGCGUUGUUCGGAAUUAUUGGGCGUAAAGGGCGCGUAGGCGGUGCGGUAAGUCCGCAGUGAAAUCUCUGGGCUCAACUCAGAGUCUGCUGUGGAAACUGCCGUGCUAGAGUGUGGGAGAGGUGAGUGGAAUUCCCGGUGUAGCGGUGAAAUGCGUAGAUAUCAGGAGGAACACCGGUGGUGUAGACGGCUUUCUGGACCGUAACUGACGCUGAAACACGAAAGCGUGGGUAGCAAACAGG
rnacentral:rRNA from 1 species